rnacentral:misc_RNA from 1 species
UCAAGGCCACAGUGUACCGUAACCUCCAGUUUGAGGGCUUUGACAGGAUCCAUAAUUACAAAUGUAACGAAGAGGAUGUAGAGGAAUACAAGAAAUGAGGAGUGGACGAAUGCGAAGAAAGAUGGCUUGGACGUGAUCUUUAGGAGUAGGAGGCGAAAAGAGUGUGAUCAUUCUUCUAAUAUUGCGUCAUUCAAAACUUUGUUAGCCACAGACUUUCAUUUAUCACCAUACAUAGCUUAAAAAUUUGCUUUACUUCAUCGCGUAGUAAAAUGUGUUUGUUAUAGGAACAUCUAUUUUUGUGAUGCCUUAUUAUCUUUUGAGGCAAUGCAUCUUUUUAAGAACCUACAGCUUACGAAGACAAUGAUAUUAAAUCUGUUAUGCAUUUUUAUCUUUUUGUGAAAUAAAAUGGCAAUCAUCAAUAAAAGUCGUUCUUUCUGGC